rnacentral:lncRNA from 1 species
UGAUUUAGUUGGCUACGUCGAGUGUAUUGAGGGCUUGAAAACAUCAAAAACCGCUCAAGGAGAUGUGCUAAAUUUCGUACUUCACAAUGGAUCCAAGUCUAGGAUGAGGGUGGUAGUGAAAAAGAAAAAGCAUGUCGGCCAUGUAACGUUAGGAGCGAACGGACGGUCGGAUCGAGUGAGCGCUCCGAGCGAGCAAAUGAGUCUUCGCUCCUAUAAUUCGUGAGAGUGAGUCGUAGAAAUUACUGGUGGUUUAUUAAAGACCACCAACACCCAUAUCAGACAACCUAAUGAUAAAACAUCGAUUUUAGACUUCAAUGUACAAGCACAUAGUACUUUUACCAUUCAUGAACAAUAUGACACUUCUAAUUCUCGAGUUGUUGAUGAAUCGUAUCAAUCGAUUUAAUUGGAUGAUGUGAUGCUACAAAAUGGCAAUAUUGUUGGUGGUUACUUAAAAGUAAUGAAUAUGGAGCAUGUGAAUAUUACCGACCAGACAAAAAUGAGCCCAAUGGAGUUGAGGAAAUCAAUCCAUUUGGUUUUAUUAGUACGUACGAAACGUAAAGACAUUAACGAUUAUCUAGAAAGUCUUAAAAAAAUUAAGUUGGUUGGCCAGUCAACUGAUAAUGACACAGUACCACCAACACCACAGCUUCUUGCUAAAUUAAAGCAAGAUGAUAAAAUUAAAAUCAAAUUAAUAAAACCAUCAUCUCGAACCAUUCGUUCAGGAACACCAGCUGUUGACAAAGUAGUAACACCAGCUGAUGACCAAAUAGUAACACCAGCUGAUGAAAAAGAAGAAACACCAGCACCAAAGUUAAUUCGUAAAUUCAAGUAGGGAAUAUGAAGAUAAAAAUCCAAAAAUCAAAGGAAAGAGACUCGAACAGUUACGGCAACGCACGGUGUAAGCCGAGCGUUGUUAUGACGACAUGAGAACUUCUCUAAUGUGCGCUGAUUGGUCAGUGAAUAACAAGGAUGCGCAGUGGUUACUGGUCAUCUCUGUGACGACACACAUUAGAGGAGCUCGCGUGAACAAUUAGUAUGUGUAAUUGAUAAUUAAUAAAAGAACCAAACUUGUGGUAACUGGAUUGUGUCGUGUUUCCUAUUGUAUGGAGUGGGACGCUACACUUUCCUAUGGAUUCCUGGGUGAGCUACCUACUGGCGGCCAGCUUCAGCGUCAUAAAGAAAUUAUGUGUGUUUAAUUGUAAAUCUUAGAUCGACGCAAUGGCGCAAAACUAAGGUAUUUUUCAUUCCUAAACCUGGCACGGCUGACAUAGACCAACCAGGGGCUUAUAGACCAAUUAGUCUCACCUCUUACAUGCUCAAGGCGCUGAAGCGGCUUGUGGACAGAUAUGUAAGGAUGCGAUUCGGGUUAGUGGUUUGCUGAAUGGGUUGCAAUUCGCUUAUCAGUCAGGAAAGUCAGUAGAUGCGGCACUCCAUAGGUUUGUUAGCAAGUUAGAGGGUGCCAAAGACAGACGGUGGAUAUUUUCAUUUUGAAAUCAAAUUUGGAGGUGGGUAUUUUCAUGGACAUAGAGGGGUCUUUCAACAAGACCCCACUAGAGGCAUAGAUGAGGCAGCAAAAAGAUUUGGGGUUGAUCCAACUUUAAGAAGAUGAAUCAGGAACAUGCUUUAUGACCAAUGGAUUUGUGCAGAAAGAGGAGGGGUAGGAGGAUGCCCACAGGGGUUUUCACGCUCACGGCGAUGCAGACCAUAUAGCUAUCGUAAUGCAGCCAGGAGGCAAAGAUGCGAAUACCGCCUGUAGCAGAUCUUGAAUUGCACUAAGUAUAGUGAAAAGAUGGUGUGAAGUCUACUUGUCAAUCUGGACAAAACGGAGCUGGUAGUGUUCACGGGUAAAAGAAAACAAGAAGGGUGAAAAAAUUCAAAAUUCUAUGGCAAUGUACCCUCAAACUCGGUCAAACAUCUGGGUGUUAUACUAGAUAAAUGACUGAAUUGGGGAUUGCAAAUAGAAAGAGUUCAAAACAGGGCUGGUAUGAUGCUAUAUACGCUCAGAAGGAUCUGCGAUAGAAACUAGGGUAUUAACCCAAGCAUCAUGGCCUGGAUGUACAAAGCAGUGUUGAAGAAUAAGUAUUAAUAUUACCAUUUUUGUUUUCAUUAUUUUGAUCAACAUUUAAUUUGUUGGGAUCAUUAUCCACUUUAGAUUCAUCAGAGGUUUGUGAUAAUAAAGACAAUUUUUCCGUCAUUUCACAAAGUUUCGGGUUCCUAUUUAACGAUUCCAAAAAGAGAUUAAUAUACUUUUUUUUAUUGUUAUAUUUUUAUAUAUGUGGUGUUCUUAGCCAAACCACGAGGUUUGCGGCCUGACCCCUUGCGAUUUCGCUCAUUUUUUGAUAUGUUGUAGAUUUUGGCCUAAAAAAGAACCGUAUUUUUUUUUUUUUUUUUUUUUCGUUCAAUUUUUGAGGGCACCACCGUCGAAUUUCAUGAUAUCUCAAACAGCGACACUUUUUUUUUGAUGAAUUUUUUAUCACAGAGUGAUAAACAAGUAUUUUGAGCCUUUCACGAGAGUGGGCAUUCAAUGGGAAGUAUUUUUUUUCGAUUUUUGAAAUUUUGAUUUUCGAAAAAAAAAAAAAAAUUU